rnacentral:rRNA from 1 species
GACGAACGCUGGCGGCGUGCCUAAUACAUGCAAGUCGAGCGAGCUUGCCUAGAUGAAUUUGGUGCUUGCACCAAAUGAAACUAGAUACAAGCGAGCGGCGGACGGGUGAGUAACACGUGGGUAACCUGCCCAAGAGACUGGGAUAACACCUGGAAACAGAUGCUAAUACCGGAUAACAACACUAGACGCAUGUCUAGAGUUUAAAAGAUGGUUCUGCUAACACUCUUGGAUGGACCUGCGGUGCAUUAGCUAGUUGGUAAGGUAACGGCUUACCAAGGCAAUGAUGCAUAGCCGAGUUGAGAGACUGAUCGGCCACAUUGGGACUGAGACACGGCCCAAACUCCUACGGGAGGCAGCAGUAGGGAAUCUUCCACAAUGGACGCAAGUCUGAUGGAGCAACGCCGCGUGAGUGAAGAAGGGUUUCGGCUCGUAAAGCUCUGUUGGUAGUGAAGAAAGAUAGAGGUAGUAACUGGCCUUUAUUUGACGGUAAUUACUUAGAAAGUCACGGCUAACUACGUGCCAGCAGCCGCGGUAAUACGUAGGUGGCAAGCGUUGUCCGGAUUUAUUGGGCGUAAAGCGAGUGCAGGCGGUUCAAUAAGUCUGAUGUGAAAGCCUUCGGCUCAACCGGAGAAUUGCAUCAGAAACUGUUGAACUUGAGUGCAGAAGAGGAGAGUGGAACUCCAUGUGUAGCGGUGGAAUGCGUAGAUAUAUGGAAGAACACCAGUGGCGAAGGCGGCUCUCUGGUCUGCAACUGACGCUGAGGCUCGAAAGCAUGGGUAGCGAACAGG